UAUUUGUGUUACAACCACAUCCACUUUCCCCAUCACCUACUUUUUCACAACCAACGUUUAAAUCAGACACUGUUUCACAAUUCACACCCUACAAUCAAUGCGAUGUCCAAAAGUCAUCCAUUAAGUCUUUGUUUUGGAAACUUUACAGACCAAUUAACACUGUGGACCCACCAUGCUGCCAUAUUAAGAACAGUAAAACUGAGCCUAAACCGAGCUCUCUCACGCCCCCAGCGAUUUCGGCCGUCGGAUUAUGCAUUUAGAUCGUUUCUCACCGUCAGAUCACGUUUCAGCGCCAGAUUACCGCGACUGGGCCGCCUGUCCUGAUGGGCAGCUAUUCUGGAGACUUUUUUGAAGGCCUGUCUUUGAUUGGGCCUCAACGGCCCAUUUAUCAUCUGCAGCCGAGGAGGCGAAGCUAGCGAGGGAACCGGUGGUCGACGGGAUCCAGCGGAUGCCAGCCGCGCAAGAGGGAUCUAGCUCAAGGGAGCCGAUGAGACGCGUGCGGGGCAACCGGCGGUCCGGGGGAUCCAGCCAAGGCGAGGCGUCUGAGGGGAUCCGGCGCUCGAGCGGCUGCCUCCAGGUCAGUUCGCUCAUCUUCCCUCCCCUUCUCUCUCAGGUCCUGAAGGCGGCAGCGGCAACGAGCCGGCGACGCCUCCGCUGAGGUUGCGGCGAUGGAACCCGCGCGAGGUGGUGCUGGGCGGGGCGAGCGUGCGGCAUGGGCCGCUGGCCUUUGGAACACAUAUCUACAUCCAUAGCUCUGGCGGCGACGGCGGCGGUAGCGGAUGACGUCUCAUCCUGCUCCUAGCCGGCGAUGGUGGAUCAACGCCUAUUCUAAUUUAACCCUCCUCUCUUCUUCUUGUACAGGGUAUGGACAGGUGCAAACUGUUCUUGUGUACACAUCAGUCAGCUAUUCACAUAUAAGAAAUCAUUUCGUUAAAAGGUGCACGCAUCCCAAGCGAACACGGAGUGAAAAACUGGGAGGAGAAUAUAGACGCAUCUUAGCCAGUUGGCUCGUGUUUGGGGAUCAGUGCAAGUUUAAUCGGAAUGAUUUUCAAUGUCUCAAUACAGCAGCCGUGAGUAUGUAUACACGGUUUCAACCUGUCCAAGAGUCCAUACACAUUUAAGGCAGGGUGCACAUGUCCGUACAAAAUCGGGCACUGAUUCAUUUAUGAACUUUCUAGAAGCCAUUUAUUAGCUGGACUCUCAGAAUGCAUCUACAGCAAUAAUACUUUUAUUAUGUGCGCAGCCGUCGCAUGCCUACAUCACAAACCAAACAUAUAUCUUUUCAAAUCAUUUGUUGAUUCAUCUCUGCCGUCAGUUAUUUGUAGUUUGAUUUGGUAACAAUGACGAGAAGUUGUAAUCCUCUUUCAGGCACCAGUUCAGUACACGUUGGAAGAAGGUUUGGAGAGACCGACCCCAUGUGUCAACUACAGUAUGUUCGACGAAAUGUGGAGCGUGGUUUUAAAUGGAGAUUCUUGGUAUCACGUGUCAGGACGUAAGUCACUAGGAAAGGAAAAGGGUGACGAGUUAACAGCUUCCUGUGCAACGGAAGCGUGAAAUGAUGUCGUGAAAUCUCACGAUUAGCCUGUUGCGAUUCAAGAUUAGAGAAGUGACAGUAUGUAUCUUUCUAAUGAAUGAAUACAAAGGAAUUCCGCUCAGCGUAUUAUUCUGUGUUUUUAUGUCACGCAUAGUAGUUAAUCAAAUGAUGUGUUAAUUUGAGAAAUGAUUUGCAUGGACAACAAGCUUUCUUCAACGAAUCAACGUAGGCCGAUGAAAACUCGUGGAGUACCACAUGCAUGGUAAAGUUGUGCGCUGAGGGUCCCACAUGCAUGCAUGCAAUUUCUGAACACAAGUUACUCCUAAUUCAUUAAUGCUUUGCGUGUCUGGGAUAGAUAUGUCAACAUGAUGAUCCCGUCGUUGAUGAUGAACAUGUCACUCCCACUCCAAAUCAGCCUAUUGUUCACCCAGUUGGAAUCUCGCACGUGACAGAGUUAGGCGGGGGAUUAAUAAACCCGACAGGUUAAUUGAAGAGUGCAAUAUUGUUUCUUUUGCUUUAUCUGUUGCAGAAGAAAUUGAAGGUAAUGCUGAGCCUUUUUCGUAUUCCGAGGCUAUUAUUUCUGGUGAUAAUAAUAAGUGGAUGACCGCUAUGCAUGAUGAGAUGGAAUCACUUGAAAAGAAUGGCACUUGGGAUUUAGUAAGAUUACCUAGAGAGAAGAAACCUAUUCAUUGCAAGUGGGUUUUCAAGAGGAAAGAAGGUGUUUCUCCUAAUGAUGAGACAAGAUAUAAAGCAAGAGAUUAAUGACCUAAAGAAGCAAUUGAGUAAUGAAUUUGAGAUGAAGGAUUUGGGUGCAGCAAAGACAAUACUUGGCAUGGAAAUAUCCAGAGAUAGACCAUCUGGAAAAGUAUAUCUAAGUCAGAAGGGAUAUAUUGAUAAAGUUCUUCGUCGUUUUAAUAUGCAUAAUGCCAAGCCGGUAAGUACCCCGUUAGCUACACACUUCAAAUUAUCAUCACCUUUAUGUCCUAAGUCAGAUGCCGAUAUUGAGUACAUGUCUAGAGUUCCCUAUUCAAGUGUAGUUGGUUCACUUAUGUAUGCCAUGGUUUUUUCUCGUCCGGAUUUAUCAUAUGCUUUGAGUGUUGUCAGUAGAUACAGGGCUAAUCCUGGAAAGGAGCAUUGGAAAGCAGUUUAGUAGAUUUUCAUAUACCUGCGUGGUACUUCUAAUGCUUAUUUACAAUUUGGGAAAACUGGAGAUGGACUUGUUGGAUUUAUUGAUUAUGAUUUUGCUGGUGAUUUUGAUAAGAGAAGAUCACUCACAGGUUAUGUUUUCACCAUUGGUGGUUGUGCUGUGAGUUGGAGAGCAACUUUGCAGUCUAUUGUGGCUUGUUCCACUACUGAUGCCGAGUAUAUGGCUAUUUCUGAGACAUGCAAAGAAGCUAUCUGGUUGAGAGGUUUGUACGCUGAGCUUUGUGGAGAUUCAUAUUGCCCUACCGUAUUUAGUGACAGUCAAAGUGCUAUAUAUCUUACAAAGAAUCCAAUGUAUCAUGAGAGAACAAAGCACAUUGAUGUCAGAUAUCACUAUAUUCGAGAUGUUGUUGCUGAAGGUGAUUUGAAGGUAUGCAAGAUAAGUACUCAUGAUAAUCCAGCUGAUAUGAUGACAAAGCCAGUUCUUACCAAUAAGUUUGAGCUUUGCUCAGGCUUAGUUGGUAUUUCUCACUAGUCCGAUGGACUUUGACGCACAAGGUGUUUAUGCUGAUUUGGAUGGAGUUAUUCACUUCCUUCGACUACUGGAGGGAAUUGGGAUCAAGGUGGAGAUUGUUAAAUUGUGAUCCAAAUUCUAGUACCAUAUUGGACUAGACGUAGUACAUACGGUGUGGGCCUUUGCGUUGGUACCGACACGUACGAGUACAACUCGUUUACUUAUCCUCCAAGGACUCUUAUGUAUUGCCCUCAUAUAUACCCCAUGUAGUCGCACCUAAAGACGGUCUGUCGUCUCGUGCUUGUAAUACUCCUCCUCAUAGUGAUUGCGCCUUCUUGUGUGCGUGGUUUUCUCC